rnacentral:rRNA from 1 species
UACGUAGGGUGCGAGCGUUGUCCGGAUUUAUUGGGCGUAAAGGGCUCGUAGGCGGUCUGUCGCGUCUGCUGUGAAAACUCAGGGCUUAACCCUGAGCUUGCAGUGGGUACGGGCAGACUAGAGUGCGGUAGGGGAGACUGGAAUUCCUGGUGUAGCGGUGAAAUGCGCAGAUAUCAGGAGGAACACCGGUGGCGAAGGCGGGUCUCUGGGCCGUAACUGACGCUGAGGAGCGAAAGCAUGGGGAGCGAACAGG